ACGUGGCAGCAGGGCUAUUUUGGUAAUUUCACACUUUGAUCCUAUCUAUUUCAUUCCAGCACGACUCCUGGGGCUCAGUGGAGGUUGCUGGAGACCAGAGAAGCAACUUUGCACCAUUCUCUCUUUCUCUCUCUAGGGUUUUUCUCUCUCUAGAUAAAAGUCGCCGUUUCGCGCCGAUUUCGCGCCGCGCUCGUCGCUCGCUGGUUCGGUGGGCUUGGGGCCAGCUUUUAAAAGCAGAGUUGUCUGGGGUUCUUGCAGCUAGAAAGGAGAUAUCUAGCUGUGAUUUAACCACUUUGAUCCAGGGAAAAAUUGCCUUGAGGCUUGAGACAGGUAUUUAGUCAACUAUUAAACUAUUUCGGACCCUUAGGCGACCUAAUCGAAUAAUUGACGCAGUUUGAGGUCGUUCUUUUCGCAGCAGGUUUCCAAGUAUCAUUUAACUAAAUUGAGGACCUGGGGAUCUGGUUUGGAGGGUAUUCUAACUAAGGCGAAAGGGUAAUUGACCCUUGGAUCAUCUUCGACUGGCAUCGAAGGGCUUUUUGGCAGCUUCUCUUGAGCAGGAGUGUGACUUCGUGGGGCUGAUUUUGGGACGUCUUGUGACUGCUUUGAGCAUAGUACGAG